GACGAACGCUGGCGGCGUGCUUAACACAUGCAAGUCGAGCGGAGAUGAGGUGCUUGCACCUUAUCUUAGCGGCGGACGGGUGAGUAAUGCUUAGGAAUCUGCCUAUUAGUGGGGGACAACAUUCCGAAAGGAAUGCUAAUACCGCAUACGUCCUACGGGAGAAAGCAGGGGAUCUUCGGACCUUGCGCUAAUAGAUGAGCCUAAGUCGGAUUAGCUAGUUGGUGGGGUAAAGGCCUACCAAGGCGACGAUCUGUAGCGGGUCUGAGAGGAUGAUCCGCCACACUGGGACUGAGACACGGCCCAGACUCCUACGGGAGGCAGCAGUGGGGAAUAUUGGACAAUGGGCGGAAGCCUGAUCCAGCCAUGCCGCGUGUGUGAAGAAGGCCUUUUGGUUGUAAAGCACUUUAAGCGAGGAGGAGGCUACCUAGAUUAAUACUCUGGGAUAGUGGACGUUACUCGCAGAAUAAGCACCGGCUAACUCUGUGCCAGCCGCCGCGGUAACAC
rnacentral:rRNA from 1 species